GCCUCCUUAGCUUAAUUGGUAAAGAAACCGGCUUAUACCCGGUCAGAGCUCUGUCUAGAUAAGGCAGAUGUUGCAGGUUCGAGUCCUGCAGGAGGCACCA
rnacentral:tRNA from 1 species